rnacentral:rRNA from 1 species
AGAGUUUGAUCCUGGCUCAGAUUGAACGCUGGCGGAAUGCUUUACACAUGCAAGUCGAGCGGCAGCGCGGGGGCAACCCUGGCGGCGAGCGGCGAACGGGUGAGUAACACAUCGGAACGUACCCUGUCGUGGGGGAUAGCUCGGCGAAAGCCGGAUUAAUACCGCAUACGACCUGAGGGUGAAAGCAGGGGAUCGCAAGACCUUGCGCGACAGGAGCGGCCGAUGUCGGAUUAGCUAGUUGGUGAGGUAAAGGCUCACCAAGGCGACGAUCCGUAGCUGGUCUGAGAGGACGACCAGCCACACUGGAACUGAGACACGGUCCAGACUCCUACGGGAGGCAGCAGUGAGGAAUAUUGNNCCGCGUGAGUGAAGAAGGCCUUCGGGUUGUAAAACUCUUUCAGCAGGAACGAAACGGUCAUCUCUAACAUAGGUGGCUAAUGACGGUACCUGAAGAAGAAGCACCGGCUAACUACGUGCCAGCAGCCGCGGUAAUACGUAGGGUGCGAGCGUUAAUCGGAAUUACUGGGCGUAAAGCGUGCGCAGGCGGUUUUGUAAGACAGAUGUGAAAUCCCUGGGCUUAACCUAGGAACUGCGUUUGUGACUGCAAGACUAGAGUGUGGCAGAGGGGGGUGGAAUUCCACGUGUAGCAGUGAAAUGCGUAGAGAUGUGGAGGAACACCGAUGGCGAAGGCAGCCCCCUGGGUUAACACUGACGCUCAUGCACGAAAGCGUGGGUAGCAAACAGGAUUAGAUACCCUGGUAGUCCACGCCCUAAACGAUG